UACGUAGGGGGCAAGCGUUGUCCGGAGUUACUGGGCGUAAAGCGCACGCAGGCGGUCUUUUAAGUUUGGAGUGACAGUUGGUGGCUUAACUGCCAAAGUGCUUCGAAAACUGACAGACUUGAGGGCUUCAGAGGGACACGGAAUUCCGGGUGGAGUGGUGAAAUGCGUAGAGAUCCGGAAGAACACCAAAGGCGAAGGCACCAUCCUGGGGAGUCACUGACGCUCGGGUGCGAAAGCUAGGGGAGCGAACGGG
rnacentral:rRNA from 1 species